UACAAAAGAUUUACAAUGAAGUUUCAGCUACUUUACUCCCUCACAAUUUGUGUGUUAGCUUUUGUAGCAAGUAGUGAUGCAGCUAUAUCUCCGGAGAUUUAUUGGAAAAUAAAAUUGCCCAACACUAUAUGCCCAAAGUGAUCAGAGAUUUUCUUUCCCAAGCAGAGAAUGACGUUGGUGACACAAAGGAGAAAGUAUAUUAUGGUUUGCACCAACAUGGAAUUUGGGUUUUUAGUGCUGCUACUGAUGAAGAGAUUCAUAACCUAAAAAGGGAAACCCCAAAUACACAUCUUCGACAAGUAAUUGAAGAAAGUAUUAAUAGUGAUUUUCAAGAUAAUAAUUUCCUUUACAAACCUUUCUUCUUAGAAAACGACUUGGAAAAAGGAAACAUCAUCAAUUUUCCCUCUCUAAAAAAUAAAAACGAAGCACCCAUUUGGCCUAGACAAUUUGUUGAAUCGAUUCCCUUCUCAUCGAAAAAAAUUCCAGAAAUCCUAAAGCAUUUCUCAAUAAAUAGUUCAAAGGACGCUCAAACAAUCAAGGAAACAAUUAAAUUUUGUGAAGCGCCAACGAAGAAAGGACAAAAGCAAAAUUGUGCAACUUCUUUGGAGUCUAUGGUAGAUUUUGGGAUAUUCAUGCUUGGAACAAACAAUGUUAAGGUAAUUGCAACGGAAGUACAAGGGGAAAAUCAAAUGUUGUUGCAAAAAUACACUAUUGAAGAAGUUGAACAAAUAGGUGAGGGGGUUAACAUGGUAUGCCACAAACUUAACUACGCGUAUGCAGUACAUUUUUGUCAUGGUGGAGGAAGUACGAAGACAUUUAUGGUAUCGAUGAUUGGUGUUGAUGGAACAAAAGUUAAAGCAGUAUCGAUAUGUCACAAAGAUACAUCUCUUUGGAAUCCCAAAGGAUUGCCUUUUGUAGUGCUUAAUGUUAAGCCUGGAACUACGACAAUUUGUCAUUUCCUUCAAGAUGAUCAAAUCGCCUUUUUACCUUAUCAAGAGGCCUAACAAAAUGGCUAAAUUUAAAUCCUCAGAGGUGUAAUAAACUACAUGGUCCACAAAUAAAUUAUGACUACUUUUACUAAGAAUAUGUGUGUGCUAUUGCAACCUACUGCACCAGACAUAAGAAAUUGAAAUAAACUUUAUAAAAUUGUUUGGUAGCUAGUUAGAAUUAUAUAUAUACUAGUUCUGGACACGUGCAACGCACGUGCAUUCCAAAUUUUAAAAAUAAAACUAUUUACCAUUUA